GAAUUCACAGAGGGGUUUGAGAGUUGUGCCCUUUUAAUGAUAAUAUAUGAGGGUGAAAUUGGUGGAGUGAGAAAUGGUUUCAAGCGCAAGUGAAGAGGCAGGAAUAGGGAAGUUUCUGGAGGGAGUGCUAAAGGGGCAGCAGAUGGAAAACGGAACUCCAUUCACAUAUCUUCCAUACUGCAUCAGUGAUGAUGAAGACGAUGAUGAAUACGACGAUUAUGAAGUGGACGAUGAAGAUGAUGACGGACCUAAACCAGUUGAUCUAUAUGGAAUAUAUACCUGGAAGAUUGAAAAGUUUUUACAAAUUAACAAGACAGAACUUCGGAGUAAUGUAUUUGAGAUUGGCGGCUACAAAUGGUAUAUUUUGAUUUAUCCUCAGGGAUGUGAUGUCUGCAGUCAUCUCUCUUUGUUUCUUUGUGUGGCUGGUCAUCACAAUCUUCUUCCAGGCUGGAGUCAUUUUGCACAAUUUACUAUAUCUGUGGUUAACAAAGAUCCGAAGAAGUCCAAGUAUUCAGAUACAUUGCAUCGUUUCUGGAAGAAAGAACAUGAUUGGGGAUGGAAAAAAUUUAUGGAGCUCGACGAAGUUGUAGAUGGAUUCGUUGAUUCUGAUACCCUCAUUAUCAAAGCUCGUAUUCAAGUUAUCAGGGAGAGAGCAGACCGUCCUUUCCAUUGCCUUGACUCCCAAUAUAGGAGAGAAAUUGUUGGGGUGUAUUUAACGAACGUUGAGAAAAUUUGCCUUCAUUUUGUGGAAGAGCAACGAGGAAAGCUUGGGAAAUUUAUAGGGGAUAAAGCUAGAUGGCCGAGUUUCUGUGCUUUUUGGCUGGGAAUAGACCAAAAUUGUAGACACCGCAUGUCGAGGGAGAAAUCAGAUCAGAUUCUGAAAUUGAUGGUCAAGAACUUCUUCAUACAAAAAGAGGUUACGUCUACUCUUAUGAUGGAUUCAUUGUGCAGUGGGCUUGAAGCUCUGGUAGGCCAGACUAAUGGAGAGUCAGGUAAAGGGAAUGCAGAGGAACAAACAGUUCCUAUUGUUUCCAUGGAGAACGACAUGUUUGUCUUGGUGGAUGAUGUCUUGCUUUUGCUUGAGAGGGCUGUUUUGGAGCCAUUCCCUCCGAAGAAUGAGAAAGGUCCUCGAGACCAUACAAAUGAUGGAGAAGACACGAACGAGGAUUCCAUUCAGCGCGAUGAGAGGCGCUUAAAUGAACUAGGUCGGCAAACUAUCGAAAUAUUUGUCCUUGCACAUAUUUUCAGUAAAAUAGAGGUUGCAUAUGAGGAAGCUGUUGCAUCAACGGAGCUAGAUAAACUCAGCAUUGAAGAGGCUGUUUAGCUGGCUGUAACUGAGCAGAAACCUAAACUAGUAUCUGAUUAGGAAAAAACAGUUAUUUGAAUUUGCAUUGAGUUUGAUUUCAAAAAUUGC
rnacentral:misc_RNA from 1 species